rnacentral:rRNA from 1 species
UAGAGUUUGAUCCUGGCUCAGAUUGAACGCUGGCGGCAGGCUUAACACAUGCAAGUCGAACGGUAGCAGGAGAAAGCUUGCUUUCUUGCUGACGAGUGGCGGACGGGUGAGUAAUGCUUGGGAAUCUGGCUUAUGGAGGGGGAUAACUACGGGAAACUGUAGCUAAUACCGCGUAAAAUCGGAAGAUGAAAGUGCGGGACCGCAAGGCCGCAUGCCAUGAGAUGAGCCCAAGUGGGAUUAGGUAGUUGGUGGGGGUAAAGGCCUACCAAGCCUGCGAUCUCUAGCUGGUCUGAGAGGAUGGCCAGCCACACUGGAACUGAGACACGGUCCACACUCCUACGGGAGGCAGCAGUGGGGAAUAUUGCGCAAUGGGGGGAACCCUGACGCAGCCAUGCCGCGUGAAUGAAGAAGGCCUUCGGGUUGUAAAGUUCUUUCGGUAUUGAGGGAAGGAGUGUAUGUUAAUAGCAUACAUUAUUGACGUUAAAUACAGAAGAAGCACCGGCUAACUCCGUGCCAGCAGCCGCGGUAAUACGGAGGGUGCGAGCGUUAAUCGGAAUAACUGGGCGUAAAGGGCACGCAGGCGGUUAUUUAAGUGAGGUGUGAAAGCCCCGGGCUUAACCUGGGAAUUGCAUUUCAGACUGGGUAACUAGAGUACUUUAGGGGAGGG